AUUGAACGCUGGCGGCAGGCCUAACACAUGCAAGUCGAGCGAGCGGCGGACGGGUGAGUACUGUCUGGGAAACUGCCUGAUGGAGGGGGCUAACUACUGGAAACGGUAGCUAAUAACGCAUACCAUCAGAUGUGCCCCGAUGGGAUUAGCUAGUGGGGGGGGUAACGGCUAACCUAGGCGACGAUCCCUAGAUGGUCGGAGAGGAUGAUCCGCAACACUGGAACCUAGACACGGUCCAGACUCCUACGGGAGGCAGCAGUGGGGAAUAUUGCACAAUGGGCGAAAGCCUGAUGCAGCCAUGCCGCGUGUGUGAAGAAGGUCUUCGGGUUGUAAAGCACUUUCAGCGGGGAGGCGUUACCCGCAGAAGAAGCACCGGCUAACUCCGUGCCAGCCGCCGCGGUAAUAC
rnacentral:rRNA from 1 species